rnacentral:lncRNA from 1 species
GGGGGUAUGGUUCGAAGAGUAUAACGCAGCGGAAUAAAACUUAUAGUAAGCGGAAAGCGUGUUCGGUCACAAAAAUAGUUUCUUUAUCAGUUUUAAAUUUCUUGUAAAACUUUUAUCGAACAGUUGGAGUGCUAAAAGAUUAAGGAGUGUAGGGAAGAGAAAAAUCACACAAAUGAUUUUUAUACUGGUUCGAAUCAAAAGAUUCUACGUACAGUUGUUAAUC